rnacentral:rRNA from 1 species
GACGAACGCUGGCGGCGUGCUUAACACAUGCAAGUCGAACGGAAAGGCCCUGCUUGUGUGGGGUGCUCGUGUGGCGAGCGGGUGUGUCACACGUGUGUAACCUGCCCUACAUUUUGGGAUAACUUCAGGACACUGGGGCUUAUUGCGGAGAGGAGCUCCUGCUGCAUGGUGGUGGUUGGAUUGGUUCGGCUGUUGGGGGUGGUCUCGCGGCUUAUCCGCUUGUUGGUGGUGUAGUGGAAUACCAAGGCGUUGGCGGGUAGCCGGUCUGAGAGGGUGACCGGCAUUAGUGGGACUGAGAGACGGACAAGACUCCGACGGGAGGCAGUAGUGGGGAAUAUUGCACGAGGGGCAGAAGGCUGCUGCAGCGACGCCGCGUGCGUGAUGACGGCCUUCUGGCUGUAAACCGUCUGCGACUGUGACGAAGCGGUAGUGACGGUAAUGGGAAAAGAAGCACCGGCUAACUACGUG